UCCUCUUGCCUAUGAGUGAUGUCUCCGUCAUCCCUAGAUUUGGAGAUUGGUUGAUGUAGAAACAGCAUACUUCUUGGAGGAACAGGCAAAGACCACCUUCUUUAGCUGUCAGGACAUCCAGCCCCAUCCGUUCUGAAGUACCACAGCUGCCAAAGAAACGUUGUUUCUAGAUGGUAAAUAUGGUUUCAGACAUUUUUUGAAAACCAAUGUUAAGCUUGGAAGUGAAUUUAUCAUAUUGGGUUAUGGAAGUCAUUAUCUCUGCAAGUCCAGUACCAGGACCUAUGACUAUGCCUACAGCAACACAGAAGGGUGCAAACUGAACUGCCCUCUUACGUUGGACAGAUAUCAUAUCUGAACUGGGAUUGACAGAGGCUAAUUUCCCUGAAUUAUUCCUAGUUGAGGGAAAAGGAUCACCGACAUGCAAACUCCUGACCCACUGGCAGAUCCAGCAGACCGGAUGGUACCUGAGGUGUCACUGGCAGAUAAAGAUGCUGUUUGGAGCUUCUGGCAGGCCCCUGUAGAUGAAUCACAGAAGAGACCUUUGAGAUUUUUGGAGCAAAGCUCUACCAUCUGCAGACCACUAUUCUCCCUUUGAAAAACAGCUUUUGGCCUGCUAUUGUGCCUUAGUGGAAACUGAACUUUUGACAAUAGGACACCAAUUUACCAUGCAACCUGAACUGCCUACCAUGAACUGGGUGUCCUAAAGUAGGAUGUACAAAGCAGCAUUCUCUUAUCAAAUGGAAGUGGUAUAUAUGUGAUUGGGCCCAAGUAGGUCCUGAAGGCACAAGAAAGCUAUAUGAAGAAGUUGUUCAAAUACCUGGGAUUUUUUUUCUCC
rnacentral:sRNA from 1 species